rnacentral:rRNA from 1 species
CUUGCUCCCUAUAAGAGGUCCAGCCUGCCCAGUGAACUAAUUCAACGGCCGCGGUAACCUAACCGUGCGAAGGUAGCGUAAUCACUUGUCUUCUAAAUAAGGACUAGUAUGAAAGGCAUCACGAGAACUCAACUGUCUCCCUUUUCUAAUCAGUGAACCUAAUCCCCCCGUGAAAAAGCGGGAAUCCACAAAUAAGACGAGAAGACCCUAUGAAGCUUCAAACACUAAUCAACUGCUUACCUCACCACGCUCAGGCCCCCAAUUAAUGCACUAUGAUAAAAUGUUUUUGGUUGGGGUGACCGCGGAAAACAACUUAACCUCCACAAUGAAAUCUUCAAACCACAAGCCACAACUUUAAGUAUCAACAAAUUGACAUCCAUUGACCCAAUAUAUUGAUUAAUGAAC